UUGGUUGUUGCAGAAAACAUGAUCUCUCUUUUAGGGUGGGCUGGAGUCUUAUGGUUGCUGUUUUUCAUGCUAUUUUUAUUUUGGGUGGGGGCGAUGGCAUGAUUGCAGUCUAGGUUUUGAAUGUUCUAUGUCUUUCUUGUCGCGAGAUGUUUUGAAACCCACGUGAAUUAGAAAUUAGGUGUUUUUGUUGAAGUCUGCUUCAUCUAUAAUUAUAAUUUCUUGAAGGGCUAUGUAUCUGUCUGAUGCAAUUCAAGGCUAGGAUCAGACCAUUGCCACAAUUUAAUUUUCAAAUUUUGGAAGCCUUUUUUAGGAUUUGGUUACUGAAUGAUAGGCUGAACAUGGAUAUGGAAUUUGUGCAAACCAGGUUGUUGAACAAUCUUACACAAG
rnacentral:misc_RNA from 1 species